rnacentral:rRNA from 1 species
UCGCCCCUAGAUGGGCCCGCGCUGGAUUAGCUAGUUGGUGGGGUAAAAGCUCACCAAGGCGACGAUCCAUAGCUGGUCUGAGAGGAUGAUCAGCCACACUGGGACUGAGACACGGCCCAG